rnacentral:rRNA from 1 species
UACGUAGGGUGCAAGCGUUGUCCGGAAUUAUUGGGCGUAAAGAGCUCGUAGGCGGUCUGUCGCGUCGGAUGUGAAAAACCCAGGGCUCAACCCUGGGCCUGCAUUCGAUACGGGCAGACUAGAGUUCGGUAGGGGAGACUGGAAUUCCUGGUGUAGCGGUGAAAUGCGCAGAUAUCAGGAGGAACACCGGUGGCGAAGGCGGGUCUCUGGGCCGAAACUGACGCUGAGGAGCGAAAGCGUGGGGGAGCAAACAGG